CUCUUCUGGCUUUAAGGUUGGGGAAAGUAGGGACAGAGCAUAAAAUAACAUGCACAUGGCCAGGUGAUAACUCAGAGCACCAGUCCAUGGGUCUUGUCCUGUGGAGUUGGUGCCAACUGAGGGAGUUCCCAGCUUUGCUCCAUGCUUUCACCUUUCCUGAAUCCACUGUGUGUGCUUAAGGAUCAAAAACUGCACCAACUAUCCACAGUACAAAAGAAUAAAAUGGAUUCAUUUGAGCCCCUCUCUGGGUUACAACUGGUUUACAAGCGAGAAAGCAUAUGUGUGCACAUGGGGGCAGAAGGACAAUGUGAAAACCUGGAGCUGUCUCUCGCAACCAGCAUAAAACCUACACAACAACUAUGGACUGUUCAGGGGAGCAGGGCCAUUUCCCCAUGGCAAGAAGUUUGUUGA
rnacentral:lncRNA from 1 species